GACAGAGGAUGCAAGCGUUAUCCGGAAUGAUUGGGCGUAAAGCGUCUGUAGGUGGCUUUUUAAGUCCGCCGUCAAAUCCCAGGGCUCAACCCUGGACAGGCGGUGGAAACUACCAAGCUGGAGUAUGGUAGGGGUAGAGGGAAUUUCCGAGGUGGAGGCGGUAGAAAUGCGUAGAUAGUUGGAAAGAACACCAACGGCGAAAGCACUCUGCUGGGCCGACACUGACACUGAGAGACGAAAGCUAGGGGAGCGAAUGGG
rnacentral:rRNA from 1 species